rnacentral:lncRNA from 1 species
CACCGUCGGCAUUGCUUCCAUCGUCGCUUUCAACACCAGCAAUUGCUCGUUCCGCUUGGCGUUCUAAAUCCCCAUUUGCAGUAAUUGAUCAAUUAGCCGCUCAAAAUCAAAACCCAAGCAAUAGGCCUCAUCUAAUUCCCAGAACCCAGAACCGUAGCUUGUGAGGAAGUGGGAGAGGAAGAGGCCUCUUUCUACCUACUUUUCCAGGUUUUUAAGGAAUUCUUCCCUAAAAAAGUGACAAUAUGGCUUCAACCUCAUCUGGUUCCCAAGCCAAAUACUCUCUCACUCAAAUCCCAUAGAUCCAACAGAGUCAAAAUAAAUAAAUAAAACUAAAGAACACAAAACCAGAAUAAUCUCAUUAGAAAUCAAACGAAGUUGAAACAACUGAAAAAAAGACAAAAAUAAAAAUAAAAAAGAGAAGCAAAUAAAAAAAACGAUGCCUCACCCAUUGUCAAUUGAAGAAGAUUUUGUUGGAAAUGUGUCUUCUUUGACAAGCGCCUUAUGGUGGAAGAAGAUGUUCAAUCAUAGGUUUUGGGUUAGAAAUUCAAUGGGUUUGGGAGAGUUCCUUGGAAAUCUAGUCUAAUCAAAAGGAAAAAAGGGCAGGAGACGAUCAUUUUAGAAGGGAGCAGUAAGCCGAUAAGUCAAACGGUGUCGGUAGAACAAAGAUACGGGUAGGAGAUUAGAGGUUGAUCUGUCCCAAAUUGGUAGGAAAAAGAAGAAUUUAAUGGAAGGAAAGAGAAAAGAAGAGUGAAGAAGAAAGAUGAAGAAGACAAGGAUAGGAAAAAGAAAAAAGAACAGGAAGAAAAAAAAAUGAGGAAAAUGAAAAAGAAAAAGAAUAAAGGUACAAGAGGAUACCACGUGAUGGUGCGUGAUUGACCAGUGCUAUCACGUUAGUAAAAAUUUAACGGCAUUAGGCUCAGGUACCAAUAUGUGGACGGACAAAAAAUUCAGAUACUAAUCUGGGAUAAAAAAUCUACCAUAAGGUCAAUAUAAGAGAAGUGAACAAGUUCAGGUACUAAUUUUAUAUUUAACCCUUAACAAAAC